GAAAACAAUUCUAAUCAAAGAACUUCUAUUAAGUAAAACAAGACAAAAUGUGUGUAAAAAUAUGCCUAACACAUAGAUUUCCUUGAUUGUAUUUUCUACUGAACUAUUUUCAAGUAUUCAGCUUUAUACUAAUAUAUUAAUCUCAAAAUACCUUUGUUUCAUUGUUGCUACUCCUUAAACUUUUUUCUUUAUUAUCUAGAUCUAGUAAAGUUUUCUGCAUUCAUUGUAUUAAUGUUGGUUCAAAAGUAAUUGCGUCCUUUGUCGUUAUAUAAAUUGUUUUAUAAAUGGCUUUAACUAUGACAUAAGCCUUUUAACAUAAUCAGCUUUCUUUAAAGGAGGAAGUCAGAUGAGUAGAGAAGGAAAGUUAUAUUCCUUUACAAAUGCUCUUAAUUUUAAUGUCUUAAGGGAAUUAUAGAGACUUCCAUUAUUCUGCCUUAAAUAAGGGAUGUUACUUCAGUUUUCUUGUCAUGGCUCCCUGCAUGGGCAGUCAUGUUAACAAGAGUCAGGGAGAUAGCAGAUAUUCCAUAAUAGUGACUGCAGAUAGGCCAGUCAAAGUCAUUUUGUUUUAAAGGAAGGGAGGUUGCUGGUAGUUAGGUGGGAAAAUAACACCUGUGAAAAGGAAGUCCAAGUCACUGGCUCAGGGACUUUGGAGGCAUUUUCAUAUCAUAUUCACUAGUCAAGAAACGUGUAGAUUAUAUGUGUGAGUGACAUAGUCUGUUUCAAAGUAUUAGAAAAGAGACAAUAGAAUCACCCACCCUCCCUUCGACACACACUUCCUUAUGUAAAAUCAGAAUCAAAUAAUUAUCAUUCCUAACCCUCACAGUGAAGGAUUUGGUUUCAUGUAACAAUGAAAGUAGAUAAUGGGUCAGACAUGGAAAUAGCAAUAAAAGGGAAUUACAACAAGAUAAAUGUGAGUAAUAGUUCAUUUUCCUGCAUUUUUGAUGAGGGCCAUGAAGAUAGGUCAUGGUAAUCUAUGGAGAAGGUCCUUAAGAGCAUAGAACAAUAUAAAUAUAAUAUGGGCCAUAUAUAUAAUUUUAAAAUUUUCUACAGCCAAAUGUUAAAAAGUAAAAAACAAUUUUAAUAAUCCAGUAGCUCCAAAAUAUUAUUUUAAUAUGUAAUCCAAUAUAUUGAAGUUAUAAGAUAUUUUACAUUCUUUUUUUGAUAUCUGAUGUAUAUUUUACACUUUCAUCACAUCUCCAUUCAGACCGGCUACAAUUUGAUCAGUUGUCACAUGUGGAUGACUAGUGGCUAUGAUAAUGGACAGCAUAGGUUUAGACAAUGCCUAUUCAACUAUUCAACUUGUUUUACAUUUAUAAAUCUCAAAAUGCCUUUAUUUCAUUGUUGGUACUCUUUUUUAUUACCCAGAUACAAUAAAGUUUUCCAAGUUUCAUUGUACACAUGAAAUGAGUUUACUGUGGAAAUGAAAAUGCAGAGUAAGUCCAACAGCUAGUUUAUCAUCCUGAACCCAGUGAAGAAAUCAAAGCUGAAUAAAAGCGACUCCUAGUUGUUACUCUCAAGGGCAGGUAUAAUUUAUGUGCAAGACUUUGUAGCAUAAUGUUUUGCAAGUAGUGGAUGUUCAAUAUCUACAAUAAAUGAAUUGUAGUACUAUAUUGCUUGAAGGAAGUUUAUAACCUGUCUAGAACAACUUUCUCAAUUUUACAACUAAACUAGGAGAUCCAGGGCUUAAAUCAUGAUUGAACUGAUUAUUCCUGUUAAAUUUAUGUGUGAACCAUAUGUGAACAUUCUUUGAAAAUGUAUGAUAAGCAUUUCAAGAUUUCUGUUUUAAUUAUUAACAUUUAGAAUUCUAGGAAAUCUUUUGGGAUACAGAGAACUUAUUUCUUCCAACUGUUGCUUCAGACGCUGAUAAGAUUGUAGAAGAUAGGGAAGCUGUAGUUUACUAUCUAGUUUUUUAAUGCACAUGAAGUAAUUUAAAAUGCUCUUCUUCCUUUCUUGUCACAUACUUUUAAAAAAUUCUCUAAAGAUUGAAUAAUUUUAAGUAUUUCUUAACUGGGCAAAAUGGAAACUUUGUAACUGAAGCCAGUCAAGGUGAAUACACAGAAAAUCAUUUUCUUAUUAAGGUCAGUUAAUGGGAUAAACCGUUUUAAGAGAGUUGAGAAAAAAUAAAGUUCUAUUUUAAAUUUAUACAUGUAACUUUAAUAAAAACUAAGUCAGACAAAAUUUAACAAAACUAAAUUGCCUUCUUACUGCUUCCAUAGUCAGUCUCGAGUUAUCUUGAUUUUAACCUACUCUUAUUUUCUAGAUCUUCAUUUCAAAUAUUCUCACUAUAUAUGUGUAUACAGUGUGUAUAUUUGUGUGUAGAAGUGUGUGUGUGAAUGCAACAGGCUUUUAAACCAAACUUAAUUUCUAAAUUGUAGUUUUAAAUAUGUCCCAGCCUUCUGUAACUGAGACACAAAGCCAAAUGCUUAUGUUUUUAGAGUUAUAUUGCUUAGGUGUCAUAAUUUCACUAAGACCAACUUGAACUGAUUCCACUUUUGAAAUCUCUGCCCUUAUUUUAUUUCCAUUGUCUGUCUCCUCAGGGUCAAGAUCUUGUGGCUGGGACUAUCUUGAGUCUCCUAUAAAAACUAUUCUUGCCGGGCGCGGUGGCUCACGCCUG
rnacentral:lncRNA from 10 species